rnacentral:rRNA from 1 species
CGGAUGUGGAGCGUACACAGGUGCUGCAUGGCUGUCGUCAGCUCGUGUCGUGAGAUGUUGGGUUUAAGUCCCGCAACGAGCGCAACCCCUGCAUUCAGUUGCCAACGGUAAGGCCGGGCACUCUGGAUGGACUGCCGGCGACAAGCCGGAGGAAGUGGGAUGACGUCAAGUCAUCAUGGCCCUUAUGUCCAGGGCGACACACGUGCUACAAUGGCCGGCACAGCGGGAAGCGAGGGGGCGACCUUGAGCGGAUCCCUCAAAGCCGGUCUCAGUUCGGAUUGCAGUCUGCAACUCGACUGCAUGAAGUUGGAAUCGCUAGUAAUCGUGGAUCAGCCAAGCCGCGGUGAAUACGUUCCCGGGCCUU